AAUUGAACGAGUCACACGGCGUGUCUUGCGAGAGGCAGAGAGGGGAGAUGGCCAACAAGACCCCCGAACUAGCCAGGCUACCUCCGCUUUAUCGGCUGUGACCACCACUCCGACCAGGAAACUGCGAUCCAGAUCAAGCUUGGCCAUCACGAGCUCUGGCCCCGUUCUUCCUGCUGUCUGCAUGAUUUGCAAGAAAGACAGCAAAUUUAUCGUCGCGAGUGGCAGACGUCAAAGAGAACGAAAACACAGACUUUAACCGCAGGCAAGUUGCAGGAAGCAGCUGAAGUAAAGGAAGCCAAGAGCAUCCUCAUUCACAUCAAGGACAGAGACUGUGUGGCUCUGGAGGUGCAGUACCACAGAAGUUGCUACAGAGAGUACACAAGGUUUUUGAGUGAGCCUGUCAGAGCAGAGAAAGAACAGUAAGUCAAUCUUAAUUUUAUAUAGAAACACAGUACAAUGUGUGUCCUAUGAUUGAGACAGUUUGUUCUCACAACAUGGAUCUCACAAAGAAAGCUCUCACAACACACAUCUUCUUCUAUAUUUUUGUAAGGAUUGGGCCAACAAUUGAUCUGAGCUACAAGUUAUUCUGCGAGAGGGUAAUCCGCUAAAGGCUACUGAUCAACCAAGAGGUGCUGAGGAUGAGCCAACUGAGGAAGGCCUUUAUUGCCCUUGUGCAGUCAAGUGAAGGUGUUGAUGCUUCAACCUACAGACAGGAUAUAUUGAAGAAGAGGCUCAGUCGUGAUUUUCCUCAGCUAGUGUUCCACACCCCCGCCAAACGCAACACAUCUGAACUGGU